rnacentral:tRNA from 1 species
CCUUGAAUAGUAUAAUUUAUUACUUCAUUUUUUCAAGAUGAUAAUGUUUAUUUAACUUCAAGUG